UGUUAAAAAUUUCAUCUAUUUCUACUGUUAAAAAUUGGUGUAACUCACGAAAUAACCAAAUAGUUACACGUGGAAUUCCACGUGUACCUUAUGUUGAAAUACAAUGACCAGUUUUUAACUGUAAAAAUAGAUUGAAUUUUUAAUA
rfam:Gossypium raimondii Chr02_contig_34, whole genome shotgun sequence.